AGCAGUAGCCGCGGGAAUACGUAGGUGGCGAGCGUUGUCCGGAAUCAUUGGGCGUAAAGGGAGCGCAGGCGGGCAUAUAAGUCUUUCUUAAAAGUGCGGGGCUCAACCCCGUGAUGGGAAAGAAACUAUAUGUCUUGAGUACAGGAGAGGAAAGCGGAAUUCCCAGUGUAGCGGUGAAAUGCGUAGAUAUUGGGAGGAACACCAGUGGCGAAGGCGGCUUUCUGGACUGCAGCUGACGCUGAGGCUCGAAAGCCAGGGGAGCGAACGGGAUUAGAGACCCGUGUAGUCCCUGUCUCUUAUACA
rnacentral:rRNA from 1 species